CCCACGUCACCAUCUCUGCUUGUGGUCACUCAAUUGAUGUUUUUCCGGUGGAGAAGCCGUAACUGCAUCCAAUGAAAACCAAUUGUACGCUGGAGACUUGAAAAGUUCAUGGAUGAAUUGUCCCAGAUGUUUCUCACAGCACUUUGGCCAACGCUCAUUAAUCCUUGAAGAUGUAACCAAGGGAUCCAUGGUGGAUAAUUUGGUGUAACAGUGUGAAAGCAAGAACAGAGGAAAAGAUUUCUGGUCACACUGCCAGCUUCUGGUCCUGUGGAGCUGAUUUAAAGAAGAGAGAAAAUGUUCCUGCCCCAGAGAUCUCUGCAGACAGUUACAUUUUUGGCAAUUCUGUUUUUUGCCUGUUUUACAAUGGGCCAAGACCUUGAAAACAGGAGGGCGCUGACCGAGCACCAGCUCCUGCACGACAAAGGGAGGGCGGUGCAGGGGCUGAAGCGGCUGCUGUGGCUGCAGCACGCCCUGGGUGCCGUGCACACGGCCAGCAGCAGGGACUCCCCGCUCCCCAGCGCCAGCUGGGACUCGCAGGAGAGCCAGGAUCCCUCUGAUUUCAACAGCAGCGAUGGAGAGGAGGCUGCCAGCCUGCUGAGGACUCCAGCUUCCAGCCAGCUGCUGGAACAGAUGGAAGCUCAGGGGCUCCUCCCACUAAAGCAGCUGGAUGGGAGGAUCCCAGAGGGUAACUGGGACCCACAGCACCUUUUCAAGCCCCUCUGACUACUCCCAGCAGUGUCAGCCCAGCGUCUGUCCCUGGCUUUACACGUGCACUGCUGAGGGAACAGCUCCAGAACAAAGGGGAACAGCAAAAUAAAAACCCUUAAGGGCACUCA
rnacentral:lncRNA from 1 species